rnacentral:tRNA from 1 species
GGAUUGUGGCUCAGCGGUAGAGCAGGUGGUUAGCACAAGUGAGGCCCUGAGUUCGAUCCUCAGCACCA